UUAUUUACUUAUUUUAUUUAUUUAUUUAUUUCAUUGUUGUAUGUCAUAUAAUAUUUUUGUGUCGUAUAUUGCAAUUAUCAUAAAUCAAAUUUGAAAAUAGGCUUUAAAUUAUUAUAACAAUAUAUCUUAGAUAAUAAUUGAAGCGCUCCCUGGAAUCAAUAGAGCUGAAAACUCUCGCAACAAUUUUCACGAACUUUUAUCGAAAUUUACGCCUGUAUAUGUAGGGGACCGUUUCAAUUACGAUAUCAUCGCUAUAUAUAUAUAUAUUGAACACUUGUUGAAAUCCCCCCGUUAAGAAAGAUUUUCAAAUGUUCAAUUAAAAUGAACAUUUCUUAUACGUAUUAUCGAGUGUUCAUCUAAUAGAAUACUUAAUACAUCAUACUAGUUUCAGCCGAAACAGCAGAUGACGUUUACUAUUUACCUUCCAUUUCCUAUAGUUACGUUAUGCGUAAUAAUAACCAUAAUAUAAUGAUAAACAUUAUUACCACCACAGAGCAUUAAUAGUGUUAUAAUAGCACUGUUGCUAGGGACGCAUGAAGAUAUAUUUAUGUGACGGCGGCCCCACUACCUGUUUAAUGCAAUGAACGAUACUCAUUCAUCCGAGUAAGAUUCAUUAUACACAUACAUAAUAUUCAGUGUAGUAUCAUUACAUUAUAUAUUAACUCGUAUCAGCAUAUUUUUCUUCAUAUUGUUUUUUUUUUAUUCUUCUCCUAUGUUCUUCUUUUGUAUUUAAAGAAGAUCUUAAUUGAACGAUUUCGAGACAUCCGUUGAUUUUGUUUUGGCCAAGAAUAUUCAAGGAAAUGGCAAUGAGAAGAUACAAUUGGAUAAACGAGAAGCACACCUAAAAGGAAAUGAUAUAGUAUAGUAAUAAAGAAAUGUAAUGAUAUAGUGGGAAUUAGUGAUAAGAUGGUGAUAGUAAGAAAGGGAAAGAAAAGGAAAAUUAUGUUCAUGAUAUUCUGAAAUUGGAAACAAUUUUCCAAAUCUUUCGUUUCUUCUUCAUUUUUUUUCUUUUGAGAUCAAAGUAUAUAUUAUCCAAUCAAAAACAAAAAUAACUCUUUUUGAUACGACAAUAAUAAUAUUAUUAUUGUUAUUAUUAUGUAUUAUUUAAUCAAUAUAACAUUAUUUAGCUAUCCCUGUGGUAAAUCGAAGCUUUUAUUUUCGCACGCAGGACAAUUGAAACAAAGCUUUUUAAUUUGAUACACGAAAUUCAAGGAACAGAAAAAAG